rnacentral:rRNA from 1 species
AGGACGAACGCUGGCGGCGUGCCUAACACAUGCAAGUCGAACGAGGCCACUCCUUCGGGAGUGAGUCGAGUGGCGGACGGGUGAGUAACACGUGAGCAAUCUACCCUUGUGCGGGGGAUAACCCGGGGAAACCCGGGCUAAUACCGCAUGUUUCGAUGAAGGGACAUCCCUUUUUCGGGAAACGUGGCCUCUUUAC